AUGGCUGUCGUCAGCUCGUGUCGUGAGAUGUUGGGUUAAGUCCCGCAACGAGCGCAACCCUCGUCUCUAGUUGCCAGCGAGUAAAGUCGGGCACUCUAGAGAGACUGCCGGCGUCAAGCCGGAGGAAGGUGGGGAUGACGUCAAGUCCUCAUGGCCUUUAUGCCCAGGGCUACACACGUGCUACAAUGGCACCCACAAACCGACGCUAACUCGCGAGAGCACGCUAAUCGGAAAAAAGGUGCCUCAGUUCAGAUUGCAGUCUGCAACUCGACUGCAUGAAGGCGGAAUCGCUAGUAAUCGCGCAUCAGCACGGCGCGGUGAAUACGUUCCCGGGCCUUGUACACACCGCCCGUGGGGCGGGGGCGGC
rnacentral:rRNA from 1 species